rnacentral:rRNA from 1 species
GACAGAGGGUGCAAGCGUUGUUCGGAAUUAUUGGGCGUAAAGCGCGUGUAGGCGGUCUGAUUAGUCUGAUGUGAAAGCCCUGGGCUCAACCCAGGAAGUGCAUUGGAUACUGUCAGACUUGAAUACGGGAGAGGGUAGUGGAAUUCCUAGUGUAGGAGUGAAAUCCGUAGAUAUUAGGAGGAACACCAGUGGCGAAGGCGACUGUCUGGACGACACCUGACGCUGAGGCGCGAAAGCCAGGGGAGCAAACGGG